GAUGAACGCUAGCGAUAGGCUUAACACAUGCAAGUCGAGGGGCAGCAUAGAAGUAGUUUACUACUUUAGAUGGCGACCGGCGGAUGGGUGAGUAACGCGUAUGCAAUCUACCUUAUACAUAGGGAUAGCCCGGAGAAAUUCGGAUUAAUACCUUAUAGUAUAGUUUUCUCGCAUGAGUUAACUAUUAAAGAUUUAUCGGUAUAAGAUGAGCAUGCGUUCCAUUAGUUAGUUGGUAAGGUAACGGCUUACCAAGACAUCGAUGGAUAGGGGAACUGAGAGGUUUAUCCCCCACACUGGAACUGAGACACGGACCAGACUCCUACGGGAGGCAGCAGUGAGGAAUAUUGGUCAAUGGGGCGAGAGCCCUGAACCAGCCAAGUCGCGUGAAGGAUGACUGCCCUAUGGGUUGUAAACUUCUUUAUAUAGGAAUAAAGGGAAGCACGUGUGCUUUUUGCAUGUACUAUAUGAAUAAGCAUCGGCUAACUUCGUGCCAGC
rnacentral:rRNA from 1 species